AUUGCGAAGGCAGCUUUCUGGAUCAUUACUGACACUGAGGAACGAAAGCAUGGGUAGCGAAGAGGAUUAGAUACCCUCGUAGUCCAUGCCGUAAACGAUGUGUGUUAGACGUUGGAAAUUUAUUUUCAGUGUCGCAGCGAAAGCGAUAAACACACCGCCUGGGGAGUACGACCGCAAGGUUAAAACUCAAAUGAAUUGACGGGGACCCGCACAAGUAGUGGAGCAUGUGGUUUAAUUCGAAGAUACGCGCAGAACCUUACCAACACUUGACAUGUUCGUCGCGACUUUAAGAGAUUAGAGUUUUCGGUUCGGCCGGACGAAACACAGGUGCUGCAUGGCUGUCGUCAGCUCGUGUCGUGAGAUGUUGGGUUAAGUCCCGCAACGAGCGCAACCCUCACUUUUAGUUGCCAUCAUUAAGUUGGGCACUCUGAAAGAACUGCCAGUGAUAAGCUGGAGGAAGGUGGGGAUGACGUCAAGUCCUCAUGGCCCUUACGUGUUGGGCUACACACGUGCUACAAUGGUAUCUACAACAGGAAGCAAGACGGCGACGUUAAGCAAAUCCUUAAAAGAUACCUCAGUUCGGAUUGCACUCUGCAACUCGAGUGCAUGAAGCUGGAAUUACUAGUAAUCGUGGAUCAGCGUGCCACGGUGAAUGCGUUCCCGGGUCUUGUACACACCGCCCGUCACACCAUGGGAGUUGGUUCUACCUUAAGGCAAGGUUUAAAACCCUUGACCACGGUAUAGUCAGCGACUGGGGUGAAGUCGUAACAAGGUAGCCGUAGGGGAACCUGCGGCUG
rnacentral:rRNA from 1 species